UAGGGAAUAUUGCACAAUGGGCGAAAGCCUGAUGCAGCAACGCCGCGUGUGCGAUGAAGGCCUUCGGGUCGUAAAGCACUUUUCUGGGAGAUGAGAAAGGACAGUAUCUCAGGAAUAAGUCUCGGCUAACUACGUGCCAGCAGCCGCGGUAAAACGUAGGAGGCAAGCGUUAUCCGGAUUCGCUGGGUGUAAAGCGCGUGCAGGCGGUUCGGUAAGUUGGGCGUGAAAUCUCCUGGCUCAACUAGGAGAGGUCGUUCAAUACUACCGGACUUGAGAGUGGUAGAGGAAGAUGGAAUUCCCGGUGUAGUGGUGAAAUGCGUAGAUAUCGGGAGGAACACCAGUGGCGAAGGCGAUCUUCUGGACCAUUUCUGACGCUCAGACGCGACAGCUAGGGUAGCAAACG
rnacentral:rRNA from 1 species